rnacentral:rRNA from 1 species
GACGAACGCUGGCGGCGUGCUUAACACAUGCAAGUCGAACGGAAAGGCCCUGCUUUUGUGGGGUGCUCGAGUGGCGAACGGGUGAGUAACACGUGAGUAACCUGCCCUUGACUUUGGGAUAACUUCAGGAAACUGGGGCUAAUACCGGAUAGGAGCUCCUGCUGCAUGGUGGGGGUUGGAAAGUUACGGCGGUUGGGGAUGGACUCGCGGCUUAUCAGCUUGUUGGUGGGGUAGUGGCUUACCAAGGCUUUGACGGGUAGCCGGCCUGAGAGGGUGACCGGCCACAUUGGGACUGAGAUACGGCCCAGACUCCUACGGGAGGCAGCAGUGGGGAAUAUUGCACAAUGGGCGGAAGCCUGAUGCAGCAACGCCGCGUGCGGGAUGACGGCCUUCGGGUUGUAAACCGCUUUCGCCUGUGACGAAGCGUGAGUGACGGUAAUGGGUAAAGAAGCACCGGCUAACUACGU